rnacentral:rRNA from 1 species
GCCUUAUACAUGCAGUCGAACGCGUAGACGCAGAAAAUCUCGCCUCUUGGGUGGCGACUGGCGAGCGGGUGACUCACAUAUCGGAUCGUACCGAGCAGUGGGGGACAACUAAUCAAAAGAUUAUCUAAUACCGCAUAUUUUCUGAGGAAUAAAGCAGGGGACCUUUGGGCCUUGCCCUGUCUGACCGAUCGAUAUCUGAUUAGCUAGCUGGUGGGGGAAAGGCCUACCCACGCGACCAUCAAUACCUAGUCUAACAGGAAGAUCCACCACCCUGACACUGACACACAGACCACACUCAUACCGGAGGCAGCCGUGGGGAAUUAUGCACCAUGGGCGCACGCCUGAUCCAGCCAUGCCCCCCGCCUGAAUAAAGACUGCGGUCUGAUAAGGACUUUCGUCUGGGAAAAAAAAGCCAGUGUUAAUACCCCUGUCUGAUGACGGUACCUGAUCAUUCAGCACCGGCUCACUACGUGCCAUCAGCCGCGGCACUACGUAAGGUGCGAGCGUAAAUCGGAAUUACUGUGUUUAAAGCGAACGCAGACCGUUACUUAAGAAAGAUGUGAAAUCCCCGGGCUCAACCUGGCAACUGCGUUCUGAACUGAGUGACUAGAGUGUGUCAGAAGGAGGUAGAAUUCCACCUGUAGCAGUGAAAUGCAUAGAGAUAUAUAUGGAAUACCGAUGGCGAACGCAGCCUCCUGUCAUAACACUGACGUUCAUGCACGAUCGCAAGCGUAGCGAGCAGGAUUAGAUACACUGGCAGUCCACGCCCUCCACGAUCUCUAUUAGCUGUUGGGCAGAAUGACUGCUUAGUAUCGAACCUCACCCAUGACAUCAACCGCCUGGCCAGUACAGUCGCACGACUAAGACUCAAAUGAAUUGACUUGGACCCGCACACCCCAAGCAUGAUGUGGAUUAGUUCAAUUCAACGCAAAGAAACUUAACCUGGUCUUGACUUGUACGGCACCCUUCCAGAUACUGAAGGAUGGCUUUCCGUACCCGAAACACAGGAUCCUGCAUGGCUUGCUUCACCUCCGGUCCUUGAAAUGAUAAGGUUGAGGUCCAGUCACCGAACCCAAGCCCUUGCCCUUAUUUUGCCUUCCUUAAGUUUGGGUACUUCCAUUGAAAUGGACAGUGGCCAACCCGAACGGACGGUGAGGGAUGGAAGUGAAGGUCCUUAAGGUCCCUU